UACGUAGGGUGCAAGCGUUGUCCGGAAUUAUUGGGCGUAAAGAGCUCGUAGGCGGUCUGUCGCGUCGGCUGUGAAAACCCGGGGCUCAACCCCGGGCCUGCAGUCGAUACGGGCAGACUAGAGUGCGGUAGGGGAGACUGGAAUUCCUGGUGUAGCGGUGAAAUGCGCAGAUAUCAGGAGGAACACCGAUGGCGAAGGCAGGUCUCUGGGCUGACACUGACGCUCAUGCACGAAAGCGUGGGGAGCAAACAGG
rnacentral:rRNA from 1 species